rnacentral:rRNA from 1 species
UCUAGAGAUUACUCCUACGGGAGGCAGCAGUAGGGAAUCUUCCACAAUGGGCGCAAGCCUGAUCCAGCAAUGCCGCGUGAGUGAUGAAGGCCUUCGGGUCGUAAAGCUCUUUUACCAGGGAUGAUAAUGACAGUACCUGGAGAAUAAGCUCCGGCUAACUCCGUGCCAGCAGCCGCGGUAAUAAUCGUCGAC